UGUAACAGCGACUCCAUGUGGA
rnacentral:miRNA from 1 species